rnacentral:rRNA from 1 species
CCUACGGGUGGCAGCAGUGAGGAAUAUUGGUCAAUGGGCGGAAGCCUGAACCAGCCAAGUCGCGUGCAGGAUGAAGGCUCUAUGAUUUGUAAACUUCUUUUAUAUGAGAGUAAAGUUAGGAACGUGUUCCUUUUUGUAUGUACCAUAUGAAUAAGCAUCGGCUAACUCCGUGCCAGCAGCCGCGGUAAUACGGAGGAUGCGAGCGUUAUCCGGAUUUAUUGGGUUUAAAGGGUGCGUAGGUGGUUAAUUAAGUCAGAGGUGAAAGUUUGUGGCUAAACCAUAAAAUUGCCAUUGAAACUGGUUGACUUGAGUAUAUUUGAGGUAGGCGGAAUGUGUGGUGUAGCGGUGAAAUGCAUAGAGAUCACACAGAACUCCGAUUGCGAAGGCAGCUUACUAAACUAUAACUGACACUGAGGCACGAAAGCGUGGGGAGCAAACAGGAUUAGAUACCCGAGUAGUC